GACAGAGGUGCCGAGCGUUAGGCGGAAUCACUGGGCUUAAAGCGUGUGUAGGCGGGUCCGUAAGUACCUUGUGAAAUCCCAUGGCUCAACCAUGGAACUGCUUGGUAUACUGCGGAUCUUGAGCCACCUAGGGGCAAGUGGAACAAACGGUGGAGCGGUGAAAUGCGUAGAUAUCGUUUGGAACGCCAAUGGUGAAAACAACUUGCUGGGGGUGUGCUGACGCUGAGACACGAAAGCCAGGGGAGCAAAACGGGG
rnacentral:rRNA from 1 species